GCCAUGCAUAAAAGAUGACACAUGAUGGCGGGGCUCGGGGUGCCAACACAGUGAAACUCUUGGAUGCAAGGCACAGAGAUAUUGACUAGGAGGAGACAGCUACCACUACUACUGCUGCUUUGAUUUGAAAGGUAUUAUUGGGACAGAAGCAGCUGGUUCCAGAACCCCCCUGGCCUCCUGUGCACACACCGAACACCAGGGAACCUGCUCUCCGACCAGCCCCAGCCACCUGAGCCCAAUAACAGGAGCCUGACUUCUUCCUAGGCUACUUAACAGACAAAAGCAGGGGCUCCAGG
rnacentral:lncRNA from 1 species